rnacentral:lncRNA from 12 species
GUCUAAUAAAUUUAGAAAGUACACCAAAUUCUUGAUGUGUCCCUCUUCAGAACUGCUGGAGUGGCAUCCUCUGCAUUGUGGUACACAGCCAAGUGCAGUCAAUUAUAGUCCUAAACAGAAGCACCACGCUCUGUUCUUACGAAAAUCAGGUUUUCAUACCUCUGAUGAUUCUUUUUGGAGCAGUAGUCUUUGUGGUGACAGAAGAGAGGGUGCCACCUCUGUAGACUAGGGAAGGGGUGAUAGUGCAGCAACCAACUGUCACUUGCAAAGUCUUCACCUUGCAGCUCCUCACCUGCAAAAGGCGCAUAAGUUUGGGAAGAUGAGGCAAGAGAUGGAGAUGGAGAUGUUUGCUGUUUGCUGUGGAUUUUAGUAACUCCUUGUUACAUGAGAGAAACAGGCAGGGAAGAAGAAUCGUCACUGCCACUCCUUUUCUUGGAGAUUGGGAAGAAGAGCUUACAAGUAGCACUGCACCCCAAGAACCGCAGCCUCAGAUGGCAAAGCUGCACAUAGUACACAUGUCUCCAUUCCCUGGCACUGAGCCAAACUGGCACUCCACCACACCUAUCAAUACCUAUCAGCUCUCUCAAUCUCCAAAACAAAGUGGUCAUAUCCCAACUUCCUAUCAAGUAUGGUCCAUGCUAAUCCCCAAACUGCACCACAAAUUGUUCAAGAGAACACCAUAGGCAAAUCAUGCCAAGGUCAACUUGAGGGUAGAGACAAUCAAUUUCCAGUCCCGAGAACGUUUGCUGGCACUAUUUAAUUCAUUAGUGUGAAUGUAGUCCAAAAGUUCAUUAGUGAAAAUGCUUGUAAACGUCACAGAUUUUGCCCAGUUGUACAACAGUAUUGUAGACUCCCGCCUUCUCUUUUUUCUCCUGGGGCUUGCUAGUUUAAGAUACUUUGGUAUAUGUAUUUGAUGUCUUCUACAAAAAUGCCAAUAAAAGGAAUUCUACAGCAGAAAGUAAGAGAAUAAGUGGACUGUCAUACUAAGGCUCCUUCUGUCCUGAAUAGAUUUAGAACAGAUAAGAAAUGGAGGACCAGAAAUGGUUACAUUCCAUUCUAUAACAUACAAACUCCAUUUCUUACACAUGUAUCCAAG